CUUUCAGUGGUGAGUGACGGUUUUUUUCUUUUAUUGUGAUAUUUUGUGCACUACUCGGUGUUGCACAUUGCCAGAAAAUCGGGAGGUACUUUAUACAAUUCAUCAGUUACGGAUUCGUCUAUAUUGAUGCGAAUACAAGUUACAAAGGUUGUACAUAGCUAGCGAACCGAGACUUUGUGUAUAAGCGAAGCCGAAACUCGUAAAAUGUAUAAAAUACGAGCCGAUAAUGUUCAGCACUGAAAAGGUCUCCCGGUCUCCCUGAUGAAUCGCCCAUACAAAAUCUUGUUAAUGGUUUUAAUUGAUUUUUUUUCAUGAUUCAAACAUCUAUUGAUUUAUGCCUACUUUGAAAGAGAAAAAACAAUUUCCUGUCGAUUUGUUGUGCGAAAAAUGAAAUUGAAUCUAACAUUUGCAUUGUAUUGUGUUGCUAUCGUCAAAGACUUUUCGGAUGAUUCGGACCGAGCUGAUAAGGAGUGGUGAAUUGGAUGUGAUAUUACGAACAAUUUAAACUUCAUCUGAAUGCACUUCAGUGCGUCAUUGGUUUGCGCAUGGAUCGCGAUCUCUUUUUGUACGUAUCGUAUUUGAUCAUUGCAUGUUUGGUAUACUUGUUGAUCAGGAUACUUGUGAUAAUUUCUAACCGCAAGUACAGAACGUCCUCUGAAUCGGAAAAACCCGACGUGAUUACAGUACGAAAUACAAUGACCUACGAUCAAUAGAUUGUCAUUGCCGAAAUAUAAGUCUGACAACAUUUGAUCAAAUGUAGAUUCUAACAUCAAAUCGAAUAUUGUAACAGUCAAGCUUCUCUGAAUAAAGUCAUUUUGUUUGUUAAAACAAAUAUUGC